UUUAAAGUCUGGCCUGCUCUAUGAAAUUUUUAAAUGGCCGCAGUAUUUUGACUGUGCAAAGGUAGCAUAAUCAUUAGUUUUUUAAUUGAAAACUGGAAUGAAAGGUUUGAUGAGAAAAAUGCUGUCUCGAUAUUAAUGAUUUAGAAUUUUAUUUUUAAGUUAAAAAGCUUAAAUUUAAUAAAAAGACGAGAAGACCCUAUAGAAUUUUAUAUUUUUAUUAAUAUUAAUUUUAUGUUUAAUAGGUUUUUAUUUUUAAGAAUAUUUUGUUGGGGUGAUGUAAAAAUUUAAUUAACUUUUUAUUUUUUAUUACAUUGAUUUAUGAUUAUUUGAGCCUGAUUUUUGGAUUAUAAGAUUAAAUUACCUUAGGGAUAACAGCGUAAUUUUUUUUGAGAGAUCUAAUCGAAAAAAGAGAUUGCGACCUCGAUGUUGGAUUAAAGUGUAUAAUUGGUGUAGAAGCUAAUUAAUUAGGUCUGUUCGACCUUUAAAACUUUACAUGAUCUGAGUUUAAAUCGGUGUAAGCCAGAUUGGUUUCUAUCUUUUAUAAAUUAAAAUAUUUUAGUACGAAAGGACCAAAUAUUUAAAUUAUAUUUUUAUUUUGAAUUAAAUUAUUAUUUUGGCAGAUUAGUGCAAUGGAUUUAGAAUCUAGAUAUGUAAUUAUUUACAAGUAAUAAUUAUAAUAAAAGAUUUAGUUUUAAUUUUUAUUUCAGGUUUUAUUUUAUUGGUCUGUGUUUUAAUUGGUGUAGCAUUUUUA
rnacentral:rRNA from 1 species